rnacentral:rRNA from 1 species
NAUUGUUCCUCGUUAAGGGAUUUAGAUUGUACUCAUUCCAAUUACGAGACCCGAAAGAGCCCCGUAUCAGUAUUUAUUGUCACUACCUCGCUGAAUUAGCAUUGGGUAAUUUGCGCGCCUGCUGCCUUCCUUGGAUGUGGUAGCCGUUCCUCCGGCUCCCUCUCCGGAAUCGAACCCUAAUUCUCCGUUACCCGUUAAGACCAUGGUAAGCCUCUAUCUUACCAUCGAAAGUUGAUAGGGCAGAAAUUUGAAUGAACCAUCGUCGACGUAAAGUCAUACGAUUCGAAAAGUUAUCAUGAAUCACCAAGAACGGGUUGCCCCGGAUGGUUUUGGAUCUAAUAAAUACAUCCCUUCCAGAAGUCGGGAUUUGACGCAUGUAUUAGCUCUAGAAUUACCACAGGUAUCCAUGUAGUGAGGUACUAUCAAAUAAACGAUAACUGAUGUAAUGAGCCAUUCGCAGUUUCACAGUACAAGUGCUUAUACUUAGACAUGCAUGGCUUAAUCUUUGAGACAAGCAUAUGACUA